GAUGAACGCUAGCUACAGGCUUAACACAUGCAAGUCGAGGGGCAGCAUGGUCUUAGCUUGCUAAGGCCGAUGGCGACCGGCGCACGGGUGAGUAACACGUAUCCAACCUGCCGUCUACUCUUGGACAGCCUUCUGAAAGGAAGAUUAAUACAAGAUGGCAUCAUGAGUCCGCAUGUUCACAUGAUUAAAGGUAUUCCGGUAGACGAUGGGGAUGCGUUCCAUUAGAUAGUAGGCGGGGUAACGGCCCACCUAGUCUUCGAUGGAUAGGGGUUCUGAGAGGAAGGUCCCCCACAUUGGAACUGUGACACGGUCCAAACUCCUACGGGAGGCAGCAGUGAGGAAUAUUGGUCAAUGGGCGCAGGCCUGAACCAGCCAAGUAGCGUGAAGGAUGACUGCCCUAUGGGUUGUAAACUUCUUUUAUAAAGGAAUAAAGUCGGGUAUGUAUACCCGUUUGCAUGUACUUUAUGAAUAAGGAUCGGCUAACUCCGUG
rnacentral:rRNA from 1 species